AUGCUGCCAAUUAAUCUGACCAUGCUGCCUUCCCUAUGGUGCCCCAUGUGUAAUGGCUGCCAACAGCAGCAUCCUGGGUGGUGUAUGCAACCUGUUGCUUAUACAGGCUGCCCUAAGGGACCCUGGAGACAGCC
rfam:Erinaceus europaeus unplaced genomic scaffold scaffold01439, whole genome shotgun sequence